rnacentral:rRNA from 1 species
CGCCCAAUAGCUAGCCCCCGAACCAAAAACAACAAAUUACCAUAAAUAACCCCAAACACACUAGUGUUAUAUUAAAUAAAUCAUUCUUCCCCCUUAGUAUGGGCGACAGAAAAGGGACUACGGCGCAAUAGAAAAAGUACCGCAAGGGAACGCUGAAAGAGAAAUGAAAGAACCCAGUAAAGCCUUAAAAAGCAGAGAUUUUUACUCGUACCUUUUGCAUCAUGAUUUAGCUAGAAAUGCCCAGGCAAAGAGAACUUUAGUCUGGUUUCCCGAAACUAAGUGAGCUACUCCAAGACAGCCUAUUAAUAGGGCACACCCGUCUCUGUGGCAAAAGAGUGGGAAGAGCUUUGAGUAGAGGUGACAGACCUACCGAACUUAGUUAUAGCUGGUUGCCUGAGAAUUGGAUAGGAGUUCAGCCUCUCGGCUUCUUUUCUCACCCUUGUCCUAGCACCCUAUAGACACCCAAAGAAUACCGCGAGAGUUAGUCAAAGGGGGUACAGCCCCUUUGAAAUAAGACACAACUUUUCCAGGAGGGUAAAGAUCAUAAUAAAUUAAAGUAAAAUGUUCUGGUGGGCCUAAAAGCAGCCACCCCCCUAGAAAGCGUUAAAGCUCAGACAUACCACUUACCUCCUUAUACUGAUAAUUUAUCUUAACCCCCUAACCUUAUCAGGCCGCCCCAUGCUUUCAUGGGGGUGACCAUGCUAAUAUGAGUAAUAAGAGAGCCUCGACUCUCUCCCUGCACACAUGUAAGUCGGAAUGGACAAGCCACCGAAUCUUAACGGCCCCAAACAAAGAGGGUAAUGAACAAUAGACUAAACAACUAGAAAAACAUUCAAACUUUAACCGUUAACCCCACACUGGUGUGCCCCCCGGGAAAGACUAAAAGAAAAAGAAGGAACUCGGCAAACACAUAAAGCCUCGCCUGUUUACCAAAAACAUCGCCUCUUGCUGAAAUUAAAGAAUAAGAGGUCCCGCCUGCCCUGUGACUAUAAGUUUAACGGCCGCGGUAUUUUGACCGUGCGAAGGUAGCGCAAUCACUUGUCUUUUAAAUGAAGACCUGUAUGAAUGGCAUAACGAGGGCUUAGCUGUCUCCUUUUUCCGGUCAAUGAAAUUGAUUUCCCCGUGCAGAAGCGGGGAUGAGACCAUAAGACGAGAAGACCCUAUGGAGCUUUAGACACUAAGGUAAGCCAUGUUAAAUACCCCAAAAAUAAAGGGCUAAACCAAAUGAAAUUUACCCCCAUGUCUUUGGUUGGGGCGACCGCGGGGAAAUACAAAACCCCCACGUGGAAUGAGAACACUCUUUCCUACAACUAAGAGCCCCCGCUCUAGUUAACAGAAUUUCUGACCAGCAAGAUCCGGCAACGCCGAUCAACGGACCGAGUUACCCUAGGGAUAACAGCGCAAUCCCCUUUUAGAGCCCAUAUCGACAAGGGGGUUUACGACCUCGAUGUUGGAUCAGGACAUCCUAAUGGUGCAGCCGCUAUUAAGGGUUCGUUUGUUCAACGAUUAAAGUCCUACGUGAUCUGAGUUCAGACCGGAGUAAUCCAGGUCAGUUUCUAUCUAUGCUAUGAUCUUUUCUAGUACGAAAGGACCGAAAAGAAGAGGCCCAUGCUUCAAGUAUGCCUCACCCCCACCUAAUGAAGACAACUAAAAUAGGCAAAAGGGCAUGUCCCCUUUUGCCUAAGACUACGGCAA